CCCCACCUCCUUUUACUAAUGCUCCACCAAGAACACCUUUAAAUAAAGCUCCACCUGCACCUCCGCCGCCUUCUUACACUAGUGCUCCAACGGCACCACCCCCACCUCCUCCACCCCCUUUUAGUACAAGUCAGUCUCCAUCGCCUCUUUUUAGUAGAGCUCCACCACCACCACCACCCCUUCCUUCAUCAAGUGGAAGACCACCUCCACCUCCACCUCCUCCAAUGUCUAGAGCCCCUCCACCUCCACCCUUUCCUGGAGCACCUCCACCACCUCCACCACCACCUCCUGGUGGUGGUCGAGGCCCACCCGCUCCCCCUCCUCCUGGCGGUCGAGGCCCACCUCNNNNNNNNNNUCCCCCCCCCCCCCCCCCACCUCCUUUUCCAUAUCCUCCGCCACCCCCACCCCCACCUCCUUUUACUAAUGCUCCACCACCCCCACCCCCACCUCCUUUUACUAAUGCUCCACCAAGAACACCUUUAAAUAAAGCUCCACCUGCACCUCCGCCGCCUUCUUACACUAGUGCUCCAACGGCACCACCCCCACCUCCUCCACCCCCUUUUAGUACAAGUCAGUCUCCAUCGCCUCUUUUUAGUAGAGCUCCACCACCACCACCACCCCUUCCUUCAUCAAGUGGAAGACCACCUCCACCUCCACCUCCUCCAAUGUCUAGAGCCCCUCCACCUCCACCCUUUCCUGGAGCACCUCCACCACCUCCACCACCACCUCCUGGUGGUGGUCGAGGCCCACCCGCUCCCCCUCCUCCUGGUGGUCGAGGCCCACCUCCUCCCCCUCCUCCUGGUGGUCGAGGCCCGC
rnacentral:lncRNA from 1 species